rnacentral:ncRNA from 1 species
CCCUAUCCCCUGUGUGCCUUGGCAGUCUCAGGUGGUUUAAGUAUGUAGGGGGUCGAUUAGGCAAAUCCGGUCGGCGUAACUCUGAGAUACGAAUACGAGCGCAAGCGAAGUUCAUGAUCCUCGGCUUCCCAGAAAAGUUUCGCUAGGAGAUUUUUAUUAACCCGUACCAUAAACCGACACAGGUAGAUGAGGAGAGAAUCCUCAGGCGCUUGGGAGAACUCUUGUUAAGGAACUCUGCAAAUUGGUGCCGUAACUUCGGGAGAAGGCACGCCUUUGAUGGUGAGAUCACUUGCUGGUCAAGCUAUUGGAGGUCGCAGUGAAAAGGGGGUAGCGACUGUUUAUCAAAAACACAGGUCUAUGCAAACACGUAAGUGGAAGUAUAUGGGCUGACGCCUGCCCGGUGCUGGAAGGUUAAAAGGAGAGGUUAUCGCAAGAGAAGCUUUGAAUUGAAGCCCCAGUAAACGGCGGCCGUAACUAUAACGGUCCCUAAGGUAGACGAAAUUCCCUUGUCAGGUAAAUUCUGACCCGCGACGUAAUGGCGUAACGACUUGGGCGGCUGUCUCAACGAGAGAUCCGGUGAAAUUUUAGUACCUGUGAAGAUGCAGGUUACCCGCGACGUGACGGAAAGACCCCAUGGAGCUUUACUGUAGCUUGAUAUUGAACUUUGGUACGGUCUGUACAGGAUAGGUGGGAGCCUAUGAAGCAGGAGCGCAAGCUUCUGUGGAGGCGCCGUUGGGAUACCACCCUGAUCGUAUCGGAGUUCUAACCUACUACCGUUAACCGGUAGAGGGACCGUGUCAGGCGGACAGUUUGACUGGGGCGGUCGCCUCCUAAAGAGUAACGGAGGCGCUCUAAGGUUCCCUCAGCGCGGUUGGAAAUCGCGCGCAGAGUGCAAAGGCAUAGGAGCUUGACUGCGAGACCUACAAGUCGAGCAGGGACGAAAGUCGGACUUAGUGAUCCGGUGGUACCGAAUGGAAGGGCCAUCGCUCAACGGAUAAAAGCUACCCUGGG